UCUGCUGCUUUGUUUUCCCUCUCUAUUUGCUGCCUGAGUCCUGGCAGGCAGCUCUGAGUGCAGAACAGCAGGACUGGAUCGGCCGGGUGCUGUUCACCAGGGACCGUGCUGGGAGGCCGCGUCUCAUCACGGAGCUCAGUCCCUGGUGGUACCCUCCCCAGCCCCGGGCGGUCUACACUCAGCCUCCCGCCUCUCCCGACCCCUUCUUUGCAUGUCGGCUCUUCCUGUGGAUGCCUCACAGGAUGUGGCACCUGCAGCUGACAUAACCCCAGCCUUUGUGCAGCGGCAUCCUGAUAAAGGCUGGGCUCUACAGGACCAUCCGGAGGGUCCUGGACAUCGACGGCUGGUAUCUCAUGGCCACUGAGUACCUGGAGUGCCGUCGAUAUAAGAAGAAGGUCGGAGGGUGGUCACAGGGCAUCGUAAGGCAGCUGCCCCCCACCUACAGCUGCCAGUUUCCAGCUGUACUAGCGUACAAGCUGUCCUGUGACCAGAGGGUGGUUGCUAUGCUGAGAUCUCGCACUCUGGGCAACAGUGCCACUCAGCUGUGCAACACCCUGCGGGAGCAGCAUUCCGACGCCUGGAUGCGGAGAGCGAUUCAGUACCUCGGCGUCUGCGAGCAGUUCCUGGCCUUGGGUACCGCGAGGGGGCAGAUCGCACCACCUCCCCAGAUGCCCCCUGUGCCCUCACCCGUCUGGCUGCUGACCGUUUACGGUUACGACGUGCUGACGCGGCUGGACGAGUACAAGGCCAGGAUCACGUCCACCUUCGGAUCCAUCCUAAAGAUGGAUUCCACAAAGGAGGUGACGAAGAAGCUCGCAGGUGCCGCCUCUGGCACGGCCGCCUGGGCUACCAACGUAGGUAACGAGCACGGCCAAGUCCUCAUGAGCGUCCUCACUUUCUGCGAGGGCUCCGAGGGUCUGUCCAAGAUGGCGGCCGGGCUGAUGAGGCGGUACCGAUUAGCCGAGGUACCUGCCCCCCAGCUCAUCUACGUGGACCGCGACUGCUGCAAACAGGACGGCGUGUCCAAGACGGCUGCCUUAUUUCCGGAACGUCGGCCAGUGCCAUGUACUUCCAGGCGUUCCUGAUUGAUGGACUGGUCAGGUGGAACGAGGACCGCGCAGCGGCAGCUGAGGGACACGAGGCGCUUCUGCUGUCCUACAGUGGCCACCUCAGGCACGCCCUUAACCAGAAGAGCCAAAGGGUGCUUGGUCAUCAGAUGGUUAAGGACUUCACCAAGCCUGCUGCUUACACAGGUGAGCUCAUCGGGGUGGAGUACCUGUUCCAGCACACACCCGCAUUGCAGGUGUGUCCUACUGUUCAUCUGUUGGCAGAAAGUCUGUAGAGGAGUGGAAGAAGGCGAUGAAGAGCAAGACUGGAGGAGGGCCAGAACUCAGGCAGCAACUAGAGAUAGAGAGAAAACAAAGCAGAAGAACUAGACCCAGAUACUGCAGGAUUAACCUGAGUGUCCCAGUCCUGGACCGUUUUUCAACAAGCAAGAUCCGAGACCAGACUUUCGUGUGAGCAGGGAGUCCCUUUCAGUGCUGCUGAAUCUGCUGAACCAAGAUCGGCGUCAUGGUUGGGGUGCCACAAUUGAGACCCUGGUGUUUCUUUU